UACGUAGGCAGCAAGCGUUGUUCGGAAUUACUGGGCGUAAAGAGUACGUAGGUGGUUUGCCAAGUCCGAUGUGAAAUCUCCUGGCUUAACUGGGAGGGUGCGUUAGAUACUGGCAGGCUUGAAUGUGGGAGAGGAGAGCGGAAUUCCUGGUGUAGCGGUGAAAUGCGUAGAUAUCAGGAGGAACGCCUGUGGUGUAGACGGCUCUCUGGACCAUUAUUGACACUGAGGAGCGAAAGCCAGGGGAGCAAACGGG
rnacentral:rRNA from 1 species